rnacentral:rRNA from 1 species
UAGGGAAUCUUCGGCAAUGGACGAAAGUCUGACCGAGCAACGCCGCGUGAGUGAAGAAGGUUUUCGGAUCGUAAAACUCUGUUGUUAGAGAAGAACAAGGACGUUAGUAACUGAACGUCCCCUGACGGUAUCUAACCAGAAAGCCACGGCUAACUACGUGCCAGCAGCCGCGGUAAUACGUAGGUGGCAAGCGUUGUCCGGAUUUAUUGGGCGUAAAGCGAGCGCAGGCGGUUUCUUAAGUCUGAUGUGAAAGCCCCCGGCUCAACCGGGGAGGGUCAUUGGAAACUGGGAGACUUGAGUGCAGAAGAGGAGAGUGGAAUUCCAUGUGUAGCGGUGAAAUGCGUAGAUAUAUGGAGGAACACCAGUGGCGAAGGCGGCCCCCUGGACGAAGACUGACGCUCAGGUGCGAAAGCGUGGGGAGCAAACAG